CGUUUCCCAAGCCGCUUUUUCUGUGAUACUGUAACAUGCACGUGUUGUACCAGGUGCAUUCAGCCUGAAAUUAGCAGUCUCAGUGAACCGAAAAAGAAUUAUUUGUAGGGGUAAAGAACUGCAGAAACCAGCUUUUCUUUUUUGUAAACCCGGUCUCUGAGGACCCAAGACCAGUCUGCAAUUUUAAUUCUGUUCCAGCAUCUGAGCAAACACACAAGACUGAUCACUGACUCAUCACUGACGCAGGUGUGAAUCAAGAUUCUAUGGAGCAAGAAAUUGAUUUCAAACAGAUUAGCUUAUGUUCCGUAUUUUUUAUUUGUAUUUUUUUUAACCACAGCGCUGUUGCGUUCUCAAUUCUGACUGGUCAGAAGGUUGAUUAAUUUUUUUAGAACAGUAACUCGGACACUAGUGUCAGUUGCAAUUCAGAUCACAGGCUUAUAUUAAUAUCAUUCUAAUACCCUGUUAUAUGUAAUGUAUAAAUGUGUGAGGUAAAACUAGUAAAUGUGAGCCUCUUGUGUGAAUGAGUGAGGUAAAACUAGUAAAUGUGAGUCUUUUAUAUGAAUGUGUGAGGUAAAACUAGUAAAUGUGAGCCUUUUAUAUGAAUGUGUGAGGUAGAACUAGUAAAUGUGAGCCUUUUGUAUGAAUGCGUGAGGUAAAACUAGUAAAUGUGAACCUUUUAUAUGAAUGCGUGAGGUAAAAUUUGUAAAUGUGAGCCUUUUAUAUGAAUGUGUGAGGUAGAACUAGUAAAUGUGAGCCUUUUGUAUGAAUGUGUGAGGUAAAACUAGUAAAUGUGAGCCUUUUGUAUGAAUGGGUGAGGUAAAAUUUAUAAAUGUGAGCCUUUUAUAUGAAUGUGUGAGGUAUAACUAGUAAAUGUGAGCCUUUUGUAUGAAUGGGUGAGGUAAAAAUUAUGAAUGUGAGGUAAAACUAGUAAAUGUGAGCCUUUUAUAUGAAUGAGUGAGGUAGAACUAGUAAAUGUGAGCCUUUUGUAUGAAUGUGUGAGGUAGAACUAGUAAAUGUGAGCUUUUUAUUUGAAGUGAAACAGUAAUGAGGUCAAAUCUUAAUCAACUUCAGGGUGGUAGGAAUUUCACAAAGAAGCAUUUUCCAAAACUUCUUUGUUACAAAAACAAAUUUCUUAAAGCUAGCAUGACUGCAAACUGGCCAAACACGGGCAGUGACAUUCUGACAUUUUGCCCAUGAUGUCUGUGUGUGUGUCUGGUUAAGUAACGGGUUGGCGAAAUGGAUCAAUUGAAGAGUGACUCAGUUCCAUCCCGAGGUCUUCAGGUUACUUCCUGGAAACGUUGAGUGGACAUUCCACUCCGAUAAAGACACCUCCUGGUUACACACACGCACAACCGAGCUGAGUUAUUUAUGCAUGGACAGUAUUAGAGUUCACCAAAGGCAGGCCAAAAUCGCCUCAUCAUGAUGUUAACACUUGGACUGUGUGUGUGUCAGAGUGAAGGAAAUAGUGCUGUGUAGUGUGCAUUCAGCAGUUCUUUUCCAUUCAUAUAGACAAGGUGAAAUGAAUGAAAAAGGAAUCUGUGACUCUCAAAGAAAACCCGAAUCCCCAAAAAAUGGUGCUUCGUUGUUUACAGAAUUCAUCCACAAAUUAAUAAUAGUUUUAUGGUUAAGAUCACAAAUCGGUCAAUAAUGGAUCCUAG
ensembl:lncRNA